AUUGAACGCUGGCGGCAGGCCUAACACAUGCAAGUCGAGCGGAUGAGUGGAGCUUGCUCCAUGAUUCAGCGGCGGACGGGUGAGUAAUGCCUAGGAAUCUGCCUGGUAGUGGGGGACAACGCGUCGAAAGGAACGAUAAUACCGCAUACGUCCUACGGGAGAAAGUGGGGGAACUGCGGACCUCAGGCUAUCAGAUGAGCCUAGGUCGGAUUAGCUAGUUGGUGAGGUAAAGGCUCACCAAGGCGACGAUCCGUAACUGGUCUGAGAGGAUGAUCCGUCACACUGGAACUGAGACACGGUCCAGACCCCUACGGGAGGCAGCAGUGGGGAAUAUUGGACAAUGGGCGAAAGCCUGAUCCAGCCAUGCCGCGUGUGUGAAGAAGGUCUUCGGAUUGUAAAGCACUUUAAGUUGGGAGGAAGGGCAGUAAGUUAAUACCUUGCUGUUUUGACGUUACCAACAGAAUAAGCACCGGCUAACUUCGUGCCAGCAGCCGCCGCCGUAA
rnacentral:rRNA from 1 species